rnacentral:SRP_RNA from 1 species
GAAGGGCAAGAACGUUCGCGACGCCCUUGGCGAGUUCCUGGGCACCGGCAUCUUUGCAUCUGACGGCGCCCUCUGGAAGUACCACCGCA